rnacentral:misc_RNA from 1 species
GAUGAAGAACGUAGCGAAAUGCGAUAAGUAAUGUGAAUUGCAGAAUUCAGUGAACCAUCGAAUCUUUGAACGCACAUUGCGCCCGGCAGUAAUCUGCCGGGCAUGCCUGUCCGAGCGUCAUUUCUGCCCUCGAGCGAGUCCAGCAUCUAGGUGCUGGGCCCGCCCGGCGUUGGGGCACUACGGGAAGCCCUGUGCUGACCCCCGUAGGCCCCGAAAUGAAGUGGCGGUCCUGCCGCGGCGCCCCCUGCGUAGUAUAACAGCUCGCUUCGGGACCCGGUGGAGGCCUGCCGUCAAACCUUACUCUCUAAGUUUGACCUCGGAUCAGGUAGGGUUACCCGCUGAACUUAAGCAUAUCAAUAAGCGGAGGA